rnacentral:rRNA from 1 species
AUGAGGACUAGCCAGAUGUUGCUCUUGGUCGUCGCCUUCCUUGUCCUAGCAUCAGAUGCAGUAACAAAGGCGUCAGCGGCCAUUGAAGGGAACCCCUGCGUGUCAAGCAUUAUCCCAUCACCAAAGCCAUGUGAUAAUAAAAGUUGCAAUAAGGCAUGCAUCGACUACGUUAUGUGGAGCGGCGGACAUGGCGAGUGUGUUGUGGAGGGGUGCAAGUGCCAGUAUUGCAUUAAAAUGGAUGCUAUUUAG